CCUACGGGAGGCAGCAGUGGGGAAUAUUGCACAAUGGGCGCAAGCCUGAUGCAGCCAUGCCGCGUGUAUGAAGAAGGCCUUCGGGUUGUAAAGUACUUUCAGCGGGGAGGAAGGUGAUAAGGUUAAUCCCGCAGCAAUUGACGUUACCCGCAGAAGAAGCACCGGCUAACUCCGUGCCAGCAGCCGCGGUAAU
rnacentral:rRNA from 1 species